CGGACGGGUGAGUAACACGUGGGUAACUUGCCUCAAAGAGGGGGAUAGCCUCCCGAAAGGGAGAUUAAUACCGCAUAACAUUAGUUUUUCGCAUGGGAAACUAAUUAAAGGAGUAAUCCGCUUUGGGAUGGACCCGCGGCGCAUUAGCUAGUUGGUGAGGUAACGGCUCACCAAGGCGACGAUGCGUAGCCGACCUGAGAGGGUGAUCGGCCACAUUGGAACUGAGACACGGUCCAGACUCCUACGGGAGGCAGCAGUGGGGAAUAUUGCACAAUGGGCGAAAGCCUGAUGCAGCAACGCCGCGUGAGUGAUGAAGGCCUUCGGGUUGUAAAGCUCUGUCUUUUGGGACGAUAAUGACGGUACCAAAGGAGGAAGCCACGGCUAACUACGUGCCAGCAGCCGCGGUAAUACGUAGGUGGCAAGCGUUGUCCGGAUUUACUGGGCGUAAAGGAUGCGUAGGCGGACUUUUAAGUGAGAUGUGAAAUUCCCGGGCUUAACUUGGGAGCUGCAUUUCAAACUGGAAGUCUAGAGUGCGGGAGAGGAAAGUGGAAUUCCUAGUGUAGCGGUGAAAUGCGUAGAGAUUAGGAAGAACACCAGUGGCGAAGGCGACUUUCUGGACCGUAACUGACGCUGAGGCAUGAAAGCGUGGGUAGCAAACAGGAUUAGAUACCCUGGUAGUCCACGCCGUAAACGAUGAGUACUAGGUGUAGGAGGUAUCGACCCCUUCUGUGCCGCAGUUAACACAAUAAGUACUCCGCCUGGGAAGUACGAUCGCAAGAUUAAAACUCAAAGGAAUUGACUGGGGCUCGCACAAGCAGCGGAGCAUGUGGUUUAAUUCGAAG
rnacentral:rRNA from 1 species